rnacentral:lncRNA from 1 species
UUUCAAAGAAGGGUUAGCUAUUUAUUUCUUCUAAACAUUAUAAAGUUGUUUUGCUGGUGAAGAUUUAUUUCCCCGAGGGUAUCACCAGCCCAGUAGUCAGCACUUUUGUGCUGACAUGAAUUAUCAUUGAUAUGGUUACAUUUAUAAAUUAACUGUUUACAAAAUAUUGAAUUUUUGAAAUACUAAGGCUUUUCUACCUCAACCAUAGAUUACCUUAGCUGAAUUUGGCAAAACUUUUAGGAAUUUUGGUCCUCAAUGCUCUUCAACUUCGUACUUUAUUUGGCCUUUUUAACUUUUUUGGAUUCGAGCAUCACUGAUGAGUCUUUUGUAGACGAAACGCGCGUCUGGUGUAUAUACAAAAUUCAGUCCUGGUAUCUAUGAUGAGUUUAUUUGUAUCAACAACCCCUUAUCCUUAAUCUAAGCUUGAUUUCAGUUUUUAUUUGCAGAACCCUAAUUACCUCAUGUACAUGUAGCUAAUGGUAGUUUAAACCUAUUCAUUUUUUAUUUGACACAUGUUUGGGGUAUGUCAUAUGUUUGGUAUGUUUGAUAUGUUUGGUAUGUCAUAUGACACAUGUUUGGGGUAUGUCAUAUGAACUCCAACCUAUAAUAACUAGUAGGCAGAAGAAAAUAUGAAUAUCUAUGGGAUUUCUGCUUUCAAUUUUCUGAUUGUAGUUUCCUUAAGGUGUUAAGGUGAAUAAUCUUAUAUACAGUACACUGUAAUGUACAAGACAUACAUAGCUUUGUCAAAGAUGAUUGUAAACUAUGACUUAAAGUAAUUGUAGUAUGAUGUAUUAAUACUAAGGUAUUGUUAUUAUUAUUGUGUUUUUUAAACUAGAAGUUACUAGUAUUUUUAUGUACACAAAUUGUUUUAUAUUGAACUUUGAAG